rnacentral:rRNA from 1 species
UACGUAGGGUGCGAGCGUUGUCCGGAAUUAUUGGGCGUAAAGAGCUCGUAGGCGGUCUGUUACGUCUGCUGUGAAAACCCAGGGCUUAACCCUGGGCUUGCAGUGGAUACGGGCAGACUAGAGGCAGGUAGGGGAGAAUGGAAUUCCCGGUGUAGCGGUGAAAUGCGCAGAUAUCGGGAGGAACACCGGUGGCGAAGGCGGUUCUCUGGGCCUGACCUGACGCUGAGGAGCGAAAGCCAGGGGAGCAAACGGG